rnacentral:rRNA from 1 species
AUUGAACGCUGGCGGCAGGCCUAACACAUGCAAGUCGAACGAGUGGCGGACUGGUGAGUAAUGUCUGGGAAACUGCCUGAUGGAGGGGGAUAACUACUGGAAACGGUAGCUAAUACCGCAUACCAUCAGAUGUGCCCAGCUGGGAUUAGCUUGUUGGGGGGGUAACGGCUCACCAAGGCGACGAUCCCGAGCUGGUCUGAGAGGAUGACUGGCCACACGGUAACUGAGACACUGUCCAGACUCCUACGGGAGGCAGCAGUGGGGAAUAUUGCACAAGGGGUGCAAGCCGGAUGCAGCCAUGCCGCGUGUAUGAAGAAGGUCUGCGGGUUGUAAAGUACGUUCAGCGGGGAGGCGUUACCCGCAGAAGAAGCACCGGCUAACUACGUGCCAGCAGCCGCGGUAAUAC